UGGUUUGGUGCUCGAAAGAGAGCCGUAACACAGGUGCUGCAUGGCUGUCGUCAGCUCGUGUCGUGAGAUGUUGGGUUAAGUCCCGCAACGAGCGCAACCCUUGUCAUUAGUUGCUACGAAAGGGCACUCUAAUGAGACUGCCGGUGACAAACCGGAGGAAGGUGGGGAUGACGUCAAGUCCUCAUGGCCCUUAUAGGUGGGGCUACACACGUCAUACAAUGGCUGGUACAAAGGGUUGCCAACCCGCGAGGGGGAGCUAAUCCCAUAAAGCCAGUCGUAGUCCGGAUCGCAGUCUGCAACUCGACUGCGUGAAGUCGGAAUCGCUAGUAAUCGUGGAUCAGCAUGUCACGGUGAAUACGUUCCCGGGUCUU
rnacentral:rRNA from 1 species